rnacentral:rRNA from 1 species
AACCGACGAACGUAACCCUUACGACCCCUUUGACAUGUCCGGAACUUGCCAGAGAUGGCUUGGUGCCCGAAAGGGAAUCGGAACACAGGUGCUGCAUGGCUGUCGUCAGCUCGUGUCGUGAGAUGUUGGGUUAAGUCCCGCAACGAGCGCAACCCUUAUCAUUAGUUGCUACGCAAGGGCACGUCUAAUGAGACUGCCGGUGACAAACCGGAGGAAGGUGGGGAUGACGUCAAGUCCUCAUGGCCCUUAUGGGUAGGGCUUCACACGUCAUACAAUGGUCGGUACAGAGGGUUGCCAAGCCGCGAGGCGGAGCCAAUCCCACAAAGCCGAUCGUAGUCCGGAUUGUUCUCUGCAACUCGAGAGCAUGAAGUCGGAAUCGCUAGUAAUCGCAGGUCAGCAUACUGCGGUGAAUACGUUCCCGGGCCUU